GGAAGUAAAAAGUCGUAACAAGGUUUCCGUAGGUGAACCUGCGGAAGGAUCAUUAUUGGAUUUUGAAACUUCAGGCUGCUGCUGGCUCUCCUCGGAGGGCAUGUGCACGCUUGUUGUCCAUUAUUUCUCCCACUGUGCACAAAUUGCAGACCUUUCAGUAGGCCUAUGUUGUUUUUCACAAUCUCUGAAUGUAAUAGAAUGGUUUUGAAUCUUGGGAAAUACAAUACAACUUUCAGCAACGGAUCUCUUGGCUCUC
rnacentral:misc_RNA from 1 species